rnacentral:rRNA from 1 species
UACGUAGGGCGCGAGCGUUGUCCGGAAUUAUUGGGCGUAAAGAGCUCGUAGGUGGUUGGUCGCGUCUGCCGUGAAAACCCAUGGCUUAACUGUGGGCUUGCGGUGGAUACGGGCCGACUUGAGGUAGGUAGGGGAGAAUGGAAUUCCCGGUGUAGCGGUGAAAUGCGCAGAUAUCGGGAGGAACACCGGCGGCGAAGGCGGUUCUCUGGGCCUUACCUGACGCUGAGGAGCGAAAGCGUGGGGAGCGAACAGG